rnacentral:rRNA from 1 species
CUACGUAGGUGACAAGCGUUAUCCGGAUUUACUGGGCGUAAAGGGCGUGUAGGCGGUCUUGCAAGUCAGAAGUGAAAUUCCUGAGCUCAACUCGGGCGCUGCUUCUGAAACUGCAGGACUUGAGUGCUGGAGGGGAUAGCGGAAUUCCUAGUGUAGCGGUAAAAUGCGCAGAUAUUAGGAGGAACACCGGUGGCGAAGGCGGCUAUCUGGACAGUAACUGACGCUGAGGCGCGAAAGCACGGGGAGCAAACAGGAUUAGAUACCCUGGUAGUCCGUGCCGUAAACGAUGAAUACUAGGUGUAGGGGGUAUCGACUCCCUCUGUGCCGCAGUUAACACAAUAAGUAUUCCGCCUGGGGAGUACGGCCGCAAGGUUGAAACUCAAAGGAAUUGACGGGG